rnacentral:rRNA from 1 species
GACGAACGCUGGCGGCGUGCCUAAUACAUGCAAGUUGAGCGCUGAAGGUUGGUACUUGUACCGACUGGAUGAGCAGCGAACGGGUGAGUAACGCGUGGGGAAUCUGCCUUUGAGCGGGGGACAACAUUUGGAAACGAAUGCUAAUACCGCAUAAAAACUUUAAACACAAGUUUUAAGUUUGAAAGAUGCAAUUGCAUCACUCAAAGAUGAUCCCGCGUUGUAUUAGCUAGUUGGUGAGGUAAAGGCUCACCAAGGCGAUGAUACAUAGCCGACCUGAGAGGGUGAUCGGCCACAUUGGGACUGAGACACGGCCCAAACUCCUACGGGAGGCAGCAGUAGGGAAGCUUCGGCAAUGGACGAAAGUCUGACCGAGCAACGCCGCGUGAGUGAAGAAGGGUUUCGGAUCGUAAAACUCUGUUGGUAGAGAAGAACGUUGGUGAGAGUGGAAAGCUCAUCAAGUGACGGUAACUACACAGAAAGGGACGGCUAACUACGUG